UAUUUAAGUCGCGGGACUCAAUAUGGCGGCGCGCGCUCGGCCGCUUGACCCCGGUGUCCCCUAAAGCGGGUAAGGGAUGAAACUUUCUCAUCUCGAGUCAUGCUGUUUUCGGAAACGUAGGGAUGCGUUUUAAUUUCUAUGCGCCACCCGUGGGUCGGCCCUCACCUGCGAGUCGGCUGACCGUGAACGACCCUCACUUGCUGUGCACCGGAAGGGCUUGGUCUUCUUGGCCUCUGUUUCCCGGAAGUGGUUUCCCUCCACCUCCUCAGGAGGGCCGGCCUUCCCUAAGGGCGGAGUCUAGGGCUUCUUUGGGACUGAAUAUGCAUUAGCUUUUGGAAGUCCAGCUUUGAUUUUCCCCUAAGCAUUGCUACAAAGGCCGGACUGCGGCUCUGGGCACCGUUCACAUCCUCGGCCGCCUUUGGCUUUGUGACCUUGGGCCGGUUGUAUAAGCUCUCUGAGCUUCCCAGGUGACUUCUCUGCAAAGUGGGCUGGUAACGCCCGAGUUGGUGCUAAAUCCUAAAGUUCAUGCUGCGAACCGGGCCCUCAGCAGAUCAGCCUCUGUUUGGUCUGGUGGCAGGCCCCACGGGCUCCUGAGAGACGUGAGAAGCAGCUUUGUAUGGGAGCCACCUCUGCUCGCGUUUCCACCCAGAAUCAAAGGACUGACUGACCAUUCUUUCAAUCCCUAAGCGGUGUCUUUUCUAUCUAAUCCUAAUAACCAAGCCUGGAGGAAUUGUAGACUUUCUGGUUGAAGGUUCAACAGGUCUCCUCGUUUAAGGAUAGAGUUAAGUCUCAGUGAAGCUACAGAGGAGAAUCUGAAAAAUGCAAAUGUUACUACCUUAACGGAAAGAGGGAGGAGGGGGCGCUUUCCUAAAUGGCCUUUACCUUGGACCUUUUCUUUCUCCUGGCAUUUGGGCUGCCAGGGAUCUUGCUUCUGCCCCACCAACACACUGAAAGCAAGAGCUCUUGACGUGAUGACUAAGGAAAAGAAUUUGGUUUUCAUUUGGAGACAGCUGAUUCUGAAGCCAUCUUAAAGCCUAAGCAUAGCACAACUGCAUUCAUGAUUCUAUGAAUUCUUUCCUACCAUUGGAACUUAGGGAAGGGGAGAGGAAGUGUGCAUCUAGGAAAUGUGGAAGGACAAGCUCUUCGUUCUUUCAUCCUUCCGCUGCCUUCUAACUCUGUGGUCGAGUGUGGUCUUCCCAGGAGAGCAUCUUCCAGGAAACUUAUUAGAAAGGAAGAACCCCAGGCCUCAUUUCACAUCUGAAGCAGAGUCUGCCUUGUAGCCGACUCCUCAGCCAUUGCUAGGCAUGCUAAAGUUGACAAGGCCCUGGUUUAACUCCUGGGGUGGUCUGGUUUAAAGUGAUGAGAUGGCAUCAAAGAUGACGGAAGGACAGAGUCCACAGAGCCAGAAUUUGGGGCAGUGGAGGCAGAGCACCUAUUUCCUGCAUUUGGGCACUGCCAGCAGGUUGAUUCAGAAGAUGGGUGAAAAAUUUGUUCCUGGGGUAGCAGGAGGAGCACCACGACUUUGGAAUCUUUUGCUUAAAAGAAGGAUGAGCUCGGCUGUUCAUACCAUACAUCCCGGAGGUCUUCAGCAAGGUGAGGUUCCUCUGACCAAGAAGCCGGCUGCCCAGAUGCACUAAGCACUAAGCAAUAUGCCUCCCUCGCAUAUUCCGGAUUUUGAAUCUUAUCCACGUAGCACUAUGUACCUACUCCGUCCCGGCCAGGAGGCAGUUUCUGGAAGGUCUUUCCACCUGGAGACGUGUAUCAAAGACUGGGCUGUUUAUUUGGCCUUGGGCUACUUGGUGAUGGAAGAGAAGUGGCUUGCUCUCCUGAACAGUAAGCACAGACGUCCACAUCAAUCAUCGUUGCUUCAAGAAUUCCUAUUUUUAGCAAAAGCUUUCCAUUUUUAUGAGUUUGCAAGCGUGUGUCAGUGAGUUAGUGACUUUCACCCAAACCAUGGUGAGAGCGCUGGUCAUUUCCUCUAGGUGUGCGCUGGUAGAGUCUCAUGAGAAUGGGGUCGUCUGGCUCCUUCUCAAAGCAAGUCUUUGACAGAGCUGUGCAGCGUUCCGGUUUCCACAGUUCCCAGGGCUGUGAUUCGGUGCAAACCCAAGGUGAGCUUCGCCGAACCGGCAGUGGACACCUCAGUUUUUCCUUCCAUCUGGUGUAUGGCCUGGGCAUGUCUCUCCAAAGGCACAUUCCCUCGUUGGUAAAAUAGAGCAUCUCACAUCCUAAUCUUACAAGAUGCUUUAUAAGCCUCAAGCAGAAUAAAAACGUCAGGAUUU
rnacentral:lncRNA from 1 species